UGUGAGCAGUGUCUUAUCAUGACAGUUUGCAGUGCUCUGUGAUGGAAUCUCUAGCGGUCUUGUAUACAGCUCGGCCACAUACAAGACCGCUAGAGAUUCCAUCACGAAGCACUGCAAACUGCCGCGAAGUACGCUUCAUGUA
rnacentral:pre_miRNA from 1 species